CACUACUACUGCAAAAAUUGCCGAAUCGAUUGGCUUCAGACUACGCAAGAACCGAGCGUGAAUGAAAAAUGCAAAUCAUGUCCUAAUGACGUGAAUCCAUAUGGAAUGGAAAAAUUGAAAACCGACGAUAAAUUGAACUAUAACAUUACAUAUAUUUGCACGAAUGAUGCAUGCCGUGUCAGAUGGACGGAAGACAAUCUCGAAGAGCCAAAUACCAUGGGAUCCUGCACCACUUGUGGUACAAAAAACAUUCAGCCAUAUAUGCAGCAAGUGCAAGUGAUCAAAAAACAGUAGAAGACCCAGAAGUUGGGG